CUGGGGAGUACGGCCGCAAGGUUAAAACUCAAAUGAAUUGACGGGGGCCCGCACAAGCGGUGGAGCAUGUGGUUUAAUUCGAUGCAACGCGAAGAACCUUACCUGGUCUUGACAUCCACGGAAGAAUUCAGAGAUGGAUUUGUGCCUUCGGGAACCGUGAGACAGGUGCUGCAUGGCUGUCGUCAGCUCGUGUUGUGAAAUGUUGGGUUAAGUCCCGCAACGAGCGCAACCCUUAUCCUUUGUUGCCAGCGGUCC
rnacentral:rRNA from 1 species